AUCGAUGAGUAUAAAUAUAAGAACGAUUGGUAAGGAAAUUAGUCUUAUUUGUGAAACGAAUUUGGAAGAACAACGAUCGCCAGUAUGAAUUUCACCUCAACUUUGGUCAGUCUGAUGCUUUGCAUCGCUUUCUUCUUUUACGCAGAGGCAGCCACUACUAAAGUUUACGAGGAAGAUUGUUCAAAGUUCUGGCUAUGCGGCGAUCAUGGCAUUUGCACUCUUCGAGAUUGCGGUGCAGGAACAGAAUACAACCCCAUGGUCCAGACCUGCGACUACCCGUACAAUCCCCGUAACGAUUGCAAACGCCAUUAAUGUAUUUUUAAUGCAAUAUAUGCACUAACGUGUUUUGCUUUUCACGAAGCUAAUCGACGCCUAAACAGUGUCACAUAAUCUGCUUCUUGCAUUUAAUAAUAUGUAACAAUCAAAUAAAGUUUAUUAUAAGCAUCAA